GCAUGCAAGUGACAAAGCCCAACGGCUGAGUUGCAACACAAUCGAAUUGCGGGGAAGUCCUAAAGCCUCAGGGUACUAACCUGCUGUAGGAAUGCAGCAGGGGCCUGUGUUAAUCGCACAGGGUAUAGUAACAACCCCGGAGGAUCUAGCCAGGUGUGCUAGAAUGGACGAUCCGCAGCGAAGCCCCUAGACCAGGGGAACGUUCACAGACUAAGUGGUUGUGGGUAGGAGGGACUCCUGCUUAAGAUAUAGUCGGGCCGGCGCGGAAACGCGCUGGGGAUUCGCAAGAACGUAAACCGCUCCGUAGGUGAACCUGCGGAGGGAUC
rnacentral:ncRNA from 1 species